rnacentral:rRNA from 2 species
UGAGGAAUAUUGGACAAUGGGGGGAACCCUGAUCCAGCCAUGCCGCGUGUGUGAAGAAGGCCUUAUGGUUGUAAAGCACUUUAAGCGAGGAGGAGGCUACUCUAGUUAAUACCUAGGGAUAGUGGACGUUACUCGCAGAAUAAGCACCGGCUAACUCUGUGCCAGCAGCCGCGGUAAUACAGAGGGUGCGAGCGUUAAUCGGAUUUACUGGGCGUAAAGCGUGCGUAGGCGGCUUAUUAAGUCGGAUGUGAAAUCCCCGAGCUUAACUUGGGAAUUGCAUUCGAUACUGGUGAGCUAGAGUAUGGGAGAGGAUGGUAGAAUUCCAGGUGUAGCGGUGAAAUGCGUAGAGAUCUGGAGGAAUACCGAUGGCGAAGGCAGCCAUCUGGCCUAAUACUGACGCUGAGGUACGAAAGCAUGGGGAGCAAACAGG